rnacentral:lncRNA from 10 species
GCUGCCAUGUGAAGAAGGAUGUAUUUGCUUCUCCUUCUGCCAUGAUCGUAAGUUUCCUGAGGCCUCCCCAGCCAUGUUGAACUGCAAAGACACUUUCAGAAGAGGAACGAAGGCCUGGAAGGAAAAGCAUCAGGGGAACGACGCUUACGUCUCUCCUCCUCCCUCCGGUCUCCCACCAGUGCUCCCAUUGGCUGAAGCCAACCAGAAGCCACAGGACUCUAUCACCCAGGCUGGAGUGCAGCAGCGCGAUCUCGGCUCACUGCAACGUCCGCCUCCUGGGUUCAAGUGAUUCUCCUGCCUCAGCCUCCUGAGUAGCUAGGAUUACAGGAAUCCUGAGGUCAGCAUCAUCCCAAUUUCACAGAGUAUGACAUGACGUCUCAGAGAGGGUAAGCAGCUUGCCAAACAUUCCACAGCCAGGAAGCUGUAGGACCAGCCUGUGCUCCUAAGGACUGGCUCCUGGCUGCUAUAUAUAGAACUAAGCCUGGUGGAGGUGUCAGAAAUAGAGGUUCACUUCUGUCAUCACCGACCUCCCUCCACACCUUUGCAAAGGAGGAAACUGAGAGGCAGGGAUUUCCGCAGAGCAAGGAACCCAAAUUGCUGCCUCCUGUGAUUUAUACACUGCACCCCAAGCUGUAGGGGUAACC